rnacentral:rRNA from 1 species
AUUGAACGCUGGCGGCAGGCCUAACACAUGCAAGUCGAACGAGUGGCGGACGGGUGAGUAAUGUCUGGGAAACUGCCUGAUGGAGGGGGAUAACUACUGGAAACGGUAGCUAAUACCGACUACCAUCAGUUGUGCCCAGAUGGGAUUAGCUUGUUUGUGGGGUAACGGGUCACCAAGGCGACGAUCCCUAGCUGGUCUGAGAGGAUGACACGCCACACGGUAGCUGCGGCCCGGUCCAGACUGCGACGGCGGGCAGCAGUGGGGGAGAUGGCACAAUGGGCGCAAUGCUGAUGCGGCCGUGCCGGGUGUGUGAGGAGGUCCUUCGGGUUGUAAGGUACUUUCAGCUGGGAGGCGUUACCCGGAGAAGAAGCACCGGCUAACUCCGUGCCAGCAGCCGCGGUAAUUC